GCGGGCGUAGCUCAGCUGGUGGAGCGCCUCCCUGCCAUGGAGGAGGUCGCGGGUUCGAGUCCCGUCGCCCGCU
rnacentral:tRNA from 1 species